UAGAUCCUUUCCUCUCCUCUCUGC
rnacentral:piRNA from 1 species